UACGAACUGGGUCUGUAAGGGGUUCCAUGACCCAAGGAAAUGGUUGUUAUCAGCACAGGUGUAUAAAUAAUUCGCUGGAGAUGGAACUCAAGCUUCUAAUGUGAAUGUGCAAGAAGCAGAUCCAAAAGAAGUGACCUAUGCUGAGAGGCUAACAAAAAUAAAAGGAAUUUUGCCGGGAGAGACUUCAAUACAGUUGACUCUAUAAUUUUUAUACAGUCAUAACAAGUCGGAUCUUCUUAUUCUCAAGACAAUAAAGCAGUCUGUGGAGCCGAGAAAUAAUGUCUGCCACAGUGCAACAAUAUAUGCUAAUGCAAUUAUGCAUGCUGGGACAACUGUGGAUACAUAUCUCCGUGAGAAUCUG